AAAAAAAAAAAAAGAAAAGAAAGAAAAAGAAAUCUUAACCAUUUGAGACAGAAUGGAUGGGUCUGGACCCUAGAGGGUCUUAUACUCAGUAAACUAAGUCAAAAAGACAAAUACCAUAUUUCACUUAUAUGUGGAAUCUAAAGGACAAAAUAAACGAACAAAAUUGAACAGACUUGGUCACAGAGAGCAGAUUGGCGGCUACUGUAGGGGAAGAGUGUCGGGGGACUGGGUGAAAGAGGUGAAGGGACUAAGAAACAGAUUGUUACAGAACAGUCACUGGAUGUAAAGUACGACAGGGAAUACAGUCAAUAAUUCAAUGACUAUGGUGCCAGGUGGGUACUAUCGAGGGGAACACUUGGUAAGGUAUGAUGUCCAACCACUAUUCUGUACACCUGAAACCAGUACAAAAUAAUAUUGAAAGUAAACUAAUUGGGGGAAAAAUCAUUUAAGUCCCUUAGUAAUUUAGAUAUAAAAUUUGCUAUAUUGCUUAUUUCUCAGGAUUAAAAAUUCAAAGCACAUGUUAAUUUGAAG